rnacentral:rRNA from 1 species
UACGAAGGGGGCGAGCGUUACUCGGAAUUACUGGGCGUAAAGCGUGCGUAGGUGGUUUUUUAAGUCCGUUGUGAAAGCCCUGGGCUCAACCUGGGAAUGGCAGUGGAUACUGGAAAGCUAGAGUGCGGUAGAGGGUAGUGGAAUUCCCGGUGUAGCAGUGAAAUGCGUAGAGAUCGGGAGGAACACCAGUGGCGAAGGCGGCUACCUGGACCAGCACUGACACUGAGGCACGAAAGCGUGGGGAGCAAACAGG